GAGCGUCAGUGCAGGCCCAGGGGAUUGCCUUCGCCAUCGGUGUUCCUCCGCAUAUCUACGCAUUUCACUGCUACACGCGGAAUUCCAUCCCCCUCUGCCGCACUCUAGCCUUGCAGUCACAAUGGCAGUUCCCAGGUUGAGCCCGGGGAUUUCACCACUGUCUUACAAAACCGCCUGCGCACGCUUUACGCCCAGUAAUUCCGAUUAACGCUUGCACCCUACGUAUUACCGCGGCUGCUGGCACGUAGUUAGCCGGUGCUUAUUCUUACGGUACCGUCAUGACCCGGGGAUAUUAGCCCCAGGCUUUUCGUUCCGUACAAAAGCAGUUUACAACCCGAGGGCCUUCAUCCUGCACGCGGCAUUGCUGGAUCAGGCUUUCGCCCAUUGUCCAAAAUUCCCCACUGCUGCCUCCCGUAGGAGUCUGGGCCGUGUCUCAGUCCCAGUGUGGCUGGUCGUCCUCUCAGACCAGCUACAGAUCGCAGGCUUGGUAAGCCUUUACCCCACCAACUACCUAAUCUGCCAUCAGCCGCUCUAGUAGCACAAGGCCCGAAGGUCCCCUGCUUUCAUCCGUAGAUCUCAUGCGGUAUUAGCUACUCUUUCGAGUAGUUAUCCCCCACUACUAGGCACGUUCCGAUGUAUUACUCACCCGUUCGCCACUCGUCAGCAUCCGAAGACCUGUUACCGUUCGACUUGCAUGUGUAAAGCAUGCCGCCAGCGUUCAAU
rnacentral:rRNA from 1 species